AGAGUUUGAUCCUGGCUCAGAGCGAACGCUGGCGGCAGGCUUAACACAUGCAAGUCGAGCGGGCAUCUUCGGAUGUCAGCGGCAGACGGGUGAGUAACACGUGGGAACGUGCCCUUUGGUUCGGGACAACUCCGGGAAACUGGAGCUAAUACCGGAUACGCCCUUCGGGGGAAAGAUUCAUUGCCAAAGGAUCGGCCCGCGUCUGAUUAGCUAGUUGGUAGGGUAAUGGCCUACCAAGGCGACGAUCAGUAGCUGGUCUGAGAGGAUGAUCAGCCACACUGGGACUGAGACACGGCCCAGACUCCUACGGGAGGCAGCAGUGGGGAAUAUUGGACAAUGGGCGCAAGCCUGAUCCAGCCAUGCCGCGUGAGUGAUGAAGGCCCUAGGGUUGUAAAGCUCUUUUGUCCGGGAAGAUAAUGACUGUACCGGAAGAAUAAGCCCCGGCUAACUUCGUGCCAGCAGCCGCGGUAAUACGAAGGGGGCUAGCGUUGCUCGGAAUCACUGGGCGUAAAGGGCGCGUAGGCGGAUCUUUAAGUCGGGGGUGAAAGCCCAGGGCUCAACCCUGGAAUUGCCUUCGAUACUGAAGAUCUUGAGACCGGUAGAGGUAAGUGGAACUGCGAGUGUAGAGGUGAAAUUCGUAGAUAUUCGCAAGAACACCAGUGGCGAAGGCGGCUUACUGGACCGGUUCUGACGCUGAGGCGCGAAAGCGUGGGGAGCAAACAGGAUUAGAUACCCCAGUAGUCC
rnacentral:rRNA from 1 species